rnacentral:rRNA from 1 species
UAGAUAUUAGAAAGAAUACCAAUUGCGAAGGCAGCUUUCUGGAUCAUUACUGACACUGAGGAACGAAAGCAUGGGUAGCGAAGAGGAUUAGAUACCCUCGUAGUCCAUGCCGUAAACGAUGUGUGUUAGACGUUGGAAAUUUAUUUUCAGUGUCGCAGCGAAAGCGAUAAACACACCGCCUGGGGAGUACGACCGCAAGGUUAAAACUCAAAUGAAUUGACGGGGACCCGCACAAGUAGUGGAGCAUGUGGUUUAAUUCGAAGAUACGCGCAGAACCUUACCAACACUUGACAUGUUCGUCGCGACUCUAAGAGAUUAGAGUUUUCGGUUCGGCCGGACGAAACACAGGUGCUGCAUGGCUGUCGUCAGCUCGUGUCGUGAGAUGUUGGGUUAAGUCCCGCAACGAGCGCAACCCUCACUUUUAGUUGCCAUCAUUAAGUUGGGCACUCUGAAAGAACUGCCAGUGAUAAGCUGGAGGAAGGUGGGGAUGACGUCAAGUCCUCAUGGCCCUUACGUGUUGGGCUACACACGUGCUACAAUGGUAUCUACAACAGGAAGCAAGACUGCGAAGUUAAGCAAAUCCCUAAAAGAUACCUCAGUUCGGAUUGCACUCUGCAACUCGAGUGCAUGAAGCUGGAAUUACUAGUAAUCGUGGAUCAGCGUGCCACGGUGAAUGCGUUCCCGGGUCUUGUACACACCGCCCGUCACACCAUGGGAGUUGGUUCUACCUUAAGGCAAGGUUUCAAACCCUUGACCACGGUAUAGUCAGCGACUGGGGUGAAGUCGUAACAAGGUAGCCGUAGGGGAACCUGCGGCUG